ACGAACGCUGGCGGCGUGCUUAACACCUGCAAGUCGAACGGAAAGGCCCUUCGGGGUACUCGAGUGGCGAACGGGUGAGUCACACGUGGGUGAUCUGCCCUGCACUUUGGGAUAAGCCUGGGAAACUGGGUCUAAUACCGAAUAGGACCACGCGCUUCAUGGUGUGUGGUGGAAAGCUUUUGCGGUGUGGGAUGGGCCCGCGGCCUAUCAGCUUGUUGGUGGGGUAAUGGCCUACCAAGGCGACGACGGGUAGCCGGCCUGAGAGGGUGACCGGCCACACUGGGACUGAGAUACGGCCCAGACUCCUACGGGAGGCAGCAGUGGGGAAUAUUGCACAAUGGGCGCAAGCCUGAUGCAGCGACGCCGCGUGAGGGAUGACGGCCUUCGGGUUGUAAACCUCUUUCAAUAGGGACGAAGCGCAAGUGACGGUACCUAUAGAAGAAGCACCGGCCAACUACGUG
rnacentral:rRNA from 1 species